rnacentral:rRNA from 1 species
GAUGAACGCUGGCGGCGUGCCUAAUACAUGCAAGUCGAGCGAACGGACGAGAAGCUUGCUUCUCUGAUGUUAGCGGCGGACGGGUGAGUAACACGUGGAUAACCUACCUAUAAGACUGGGAUAACUUCGGGAAACCGGAGCUAAUACCGGAUAAUAUUUUGAACCGCAUGGUUCAAAAGUGAAAGACGGUCUUGCUGUCACUUAUAGAUGGAUCCGCGCUGCAUUAGCUAGUUGGUAAGGUAACGGCUUACCAAGGCAACGAUGCAUAGCCGACCUGAGAGGGCGAUCAGCCACACUGGAACUGAGACACGGUCCAGACUCCUACGGGAGGCAGCAGUAGGGAAUCUUCGGCAAUGGGCGAAAGCCUGACGCAGCAAUGCCGCGUGAGUGAUGAAGGUCUUCGGGUCGUAAAACUCUGUUGGUGGGAAAGAAAAGAAGUGUGAGAAUCUGACGACUCCAUGACGGUACCUGAAGAAAAAGCCACGGCUAACUACGUG